UACGUAGGGGGCGAGCGUUGUCCGGAUUCAUUGGGCGUAAAGCGCGCGCAGGCGGUUGGCAGAGCCCGGCGUGAAAGCCCCCAGCUCAACUGGGGGAGGCCGUCGGAGACCUGUCGACUUGAGGCCGGUAGGGGAGAGCGGAAUUCCCGGUGUAGUGGUGGAAUGCGUAGAUAUCAGGAGGAACACCGGUGGCGAAGGCGGGUCUCUGGGCCGAUAUUGACGCUGAGGAGCGAAAGCGUGGGGAGCGAACAGG
rnacentral:rRNA from 1 species